UCACCGUCGCACUCGGUCGCCGAAGAGCGUGAGUGUACCGAGAUCGGCCGCUAUAUUUACCUUAGGAAAAGUCGCCUUGCCAAGUCGAGUAAGGUGUCGCGAGUGUAUAGUGAUAGCUGCUGCACUGGCUGCCGGAUAAAUCCAGUUCGACGCUAGAACGAAGACGAAACGACGUAAACAUAGUCGGGACAAGUACCGAAAAGCUAUCCUCACAUCUGUCCAAUGACCGAUAUAACACGAUAUAACACGUAUCCAUCGAUGGUCGAUCCGUUGGUAUAAAUUUUCGCUUAAGCGGACGGACGCACGUUCCUUGAAGAGUUAGGCGGUCUCGGAGUAACGCAACUUCUCUUUGAAGUUACUUACUUCCCGACGGCAUAUCCCACGGGGCGCAUCACGGGCUUCUAUCUUCGUGUGAACGAGCCUUAACGUAUUCGUUGGUCCGUCACAAGCAGUGGAGGGGAAAAAGAGUAAAGAUAGCAUCGCGGGUAUAUCUCUCGAGCUAGUCUCGCGGUGCUAAGAGAGUUAGGUCGGUUAUUUCCGUCAUCUCUUGAGGGGUUCACGACCUGGAGGCCGAAGGCUCCUGCAUGACGUAACUCGUCGCGUCGCGUCGCGUCGGCACGCACUGACCGACGCAAAACGCGCACAGAAAAAAUUCGAGACCGAGUUUGACAUCGGAGUCGUCGGUGUCUACAGAGAGAGAGAGAGAGAGAGAGAGAGAGAGAGAGAGAGAGAGAGAGACUACAUUUUCGACGAGAGGACAAAACUCGUCGGAAUAAUGGAUCGAGAGGUCGUUAGAAAAAUGGAGUAACCCUGACGCCUACUAGGAAACGGAGAAAAGAAAAAGUGUGUUUGGAUUUAAUAGAACGUUUUAUCUUUGCCACCCUAUCUAUGUUCGCUUUGCCAAUCGGAUCGGAUGAGAUAUUCAGCACCACCGAUGCCAAAGUUUUUUUAUUUCAUACACGUUAUUGUAACCGACAAGGGAAUCUACGAUCUAAGAGCGAGAGCGGAAGAGAGGAAGUGAGAGAGAAAGUUUCCUUCGAGGUAAGAAUUAUAGCAGCGGUAUCUCAUUCUCCCGUUCUCCGGUGUUCACUCUUCGGUCCACCUCCUUGACUCCUCGGUACUGCCAAGUUGGCUUAUCGGUGAGCACCUUUUUAUACUCGAACGAAACGGCACCUUUGUACGUUCGUUCAACGCUCGUAUUUCUUUUUCGUCCGACUGAUUUCUCUCAUCCCUUCUGGCCGCAUUUAUGUAAUUUCCUGUCUCGUUGCCAAUUC